GAUGAACGCUGGCGGCGUGCCUAAUACAUGCAAGUCGAGCGAACAGACGAGGAGCUUGCUCCUCUGACGUUAGCGGCGGACGGGUGAGUAACACGUGGAUAACCUACCUAUAAGACUGGGAUAACUUCGGGAAACCGGAGCUAAUACCGGAUAAUAUAUUGAACCGCAUUGUUCAAUAGUGAAAGACGGUUUUGCUGUCACUUAUAGAUUGAUCCGCGCCGCAUUAGCUAGUUGGUAAGGUAACGGCUUACCAAGGCAACGAUGCGUAGCCGACCUGAGAGGGUGAGCGGCCACACUGGAACUGAGACACGGUCCAGACUCCUACGGGAGGCAGCAGUAGGGAAUCUUCCGCAAUGGGCGAAAGCUUGACGGAGCAACGCCGCGUGAGUGAUGAAGGUCUUCGGAUCGUAAAACUCUGUUAUUAGGGAAGAACAAAUGUGUAAGUAACUAUGCACGUCUUGACGGUACCUAAUCAGAAAGCCACGGCUAACUACGUG
rnacentral:rRNA from 1 species